rnacentral:piRNA from 1 species
UACAGUUUUGCUAUGUUAAAUAGGAGGAUGG